GCUCAGAACGAACGCUGGCGGCGCGUUUUAAGCAUGCAAGUCGAACGGUAACUGUCCUUCGGGACAGCUAGAGUGGCGGACGGGUGAGUAACACGUAGGUGAUCUGCCCUUGAGUUGGGGAUAGCCCAUGGAAACAUGGGGUAAUACCGAAUACGCUCCGGAUGCUAUGGCAACUGGAGGAAAAGCGCUUCGGCGCUGCUCGAGGAUGAGCCUGCGGCUGAUUAGUUAGUUGGUGGGGUAACGGCCUACCAAGGCGACGAUCAGUAGCCGGCCUGAGAGGGUGAACGGCCACACUGGGACUGAGAUACGGCCCAGACUCCUACGGGAGGCAGCAGCUAAGAAUCUUCUGCAAUGGACGAAAGUCUGACAGAGCGACGCCGCGUGGGUGAAGAAGGCCGGAAGGUUGUAAAACCCUUUUCUAUUCGAGGAAUAAUCGCAGGAGGCAAUGCCUGCGAGAUGACGGUAGGGUAGGAAUAAGCCCCGGCCAAUUACGUGCCAGCAGCCGCGGUAACACGUAUGGGGCGAGCGUUGUUCGGAAUCAUUGGGCGUAAAGGGCGCGUAGGCGGAUAUGCAAGCUUGGUGUGAAAGACCGCAGCUCAACUGCGGGACCGCGCUGAGAACUGCAUGUCUAGAGUUCAAGAGGGGAAGCUGGAAUUCCAGGUGUAGGGGUGAAAUCUGUAGAGAUCUGGAAGAACAUCAGUGGCGAAGGCGAGCUUCUGGCUAUGAACUGACACUUGAGGCGCGAAAGCGUGGGGAGCAAACAGGAUUCGAUACCCUGGUAGUCCACGCUGUAAACGAUGUGCACUAG
rnacentral:rRNA from 1 species